UACGAAGGGGGCUAGCGUUGCUCGGAAUCACUGGGCGUAAAGGGUGCGUAGGCGGGAUCUUAAGUCAGAGGUGAAAGCCUGAAGCUCAACUCCAGAACUGCCUUUGAUACUGGGAUUCUUGAGUUCGGGAGAGGUGAGCGGAACUGCGAGUGUAGAGGUGAAAUUCGUAGAUAUUCGCAAGAACACCAGCGGCGAAGGCGGCGCUCUGGGCCGGAACUGACGCUGAGGAGCGAAAGCGUGGGUAGCAAACAGG
rnacentral:rRNA from 1 species